GCACGUAGUUAGCCGGGACUUCUUCUGCAGGUACCGUCAGUUUCCCUUCGUCCCUGCCGAAAGGGGUUUACAACCCGAAGGCCUUCAUCCCCCACGCGGCGUCGCUGCGUCACGCUUUCGCGCAUUAGCGCAAGAUCCCCCACUGCUGCCUCCCGUAGGAGUCUGGGCCGUGUCUCAGUCCCAGUGUGGCUGGCCGUCCCCUCAGACCAGCUACCCGUCGUCGCCUUGGUGGGCCGUUACCCCACCAACAAGCUGAUAGGCCGCGGGCCCAUCCCGGACCGUCGGAGCUUUCCCGGCGCGACCAUGCGAUCGCGCCGGAGUAUCCGGUAUUGGCUCAGGUUUCCCUGGGUUAUCCCGGUGUCCGGGGCAGGUUGCCCACGUGUUACUCACCCGUUCGCCGCUCUCCCCUCGGAAGGGUUACCCCUCCUGAGGUUCCCGCUCGACUUGCAUGUGUUAGGCACGCCGCCAGCGUUCGUC
rnacentral:rRNA from 1 species